rnacentral:rRNA from 1 species
AUCUUCCGCAAUGGACGAAAGUCUGACGGAGCAACGCCGCGCGAGGUAUGAAGGUUUUCGGAUCGUAAAACUCUGUUGUUAGGGAAGAACAAGUAGCGGCGUCACUGCCGGUACCUUGACGGUACCUGACGUGCAAGCCCCGGCUAACUACCGUCCAGCAGCCGCGGUAAUACGUAGGUGGCAAGCGUUGUGCGGAAUUAAUGGGCGUAAAGCGCGCGCAGGCGGUUUUUUAAGUCUGAUGUGAAAGCUUACAGCUUAACUGUAAGAGGUCAUUGGAAACUGGGAGACUUGAGUGCAGAAGAGGAGAGUGGAAUUCCAUGUGUAGCGGUGAAAUGCGUAGAGAUAUGGAGGAACACCAGUGGCGAAGGCGACUCUCUGGUCUGUAACUGACGCUGAGGCGCGAAAGCGUGGGGAUCAAACA